rnacentral:rRNA from 1 species
AGCAGCCGCGGUAAUUCCAGCUCCAAUAGCGUAUAUUAAAGUUGUUGCAGUUAAAAAGCUCGUAGUUGAAUUUCGGGGUCAAUAAGUUGGUCAUGCCAAUGGUAUGCACUGGCUUUAUUGAUUCCUACCUCUUGACGAACUGUGAUGCCAUUAAUUUGGUGUUGCAAGGAAUCAGGACUGUUACCUUGAAAAAAUUAGAGUGUUUAAAGCAAGCUUACGCUUGAAUACAUUAGCAUGGAAUAAUGAAAUAGGACGUUUGAUCCUAUUUUGUUGGUUUCUAGGAUCGACGUAAUGAUUAAUAGGGAUAGUUGGGGGCAUUAGUAUUCAAUUGUCAGAGGUGAAAUUCUUGGAUUUAUUGAAGACUAACUACUGCGAAAGCAUUUGCCAAGGAUGUUUUCAUUAAUCAAGAACGAAAGUUAGGGGAUCGAAGACGAUCAGAUACCGUCGUAGUCUUAACCAUAAACUAUGCCGACUAGGGAUCGGAUGAUGUUAAUUUUUAAUGA